ACAAGCGUGGAGCAUGUGGUUUAAUUCGAAGCAACGCGAAGAACCUUACCAGGUCUUGACAUCCGAUGCUAUUUCUAGAGAUAGAAAGUUACUUCGGUACAUCGGUGACAGGUGGUGCAUGGUUGUCGUCAGCUCGUGUCGUGAGAUGUUGGGUUAAGUCCCGCAACGAGCGCAACCCCUAUUGUUAGUUGCCAUCAUUCAGUUGGGCACUCUAGCGAGACUGCCGGUAAUAAACCGGAGGAAGGUGGGAUGACGUCAAAUCAUCAUGCCCCUUAUGACCUGGGCUACACACGUGCUACAAUGGUUGGUACAACGAGUUGCGAGUCGGUGACGGCGAGCUAAUCUCUUAAAGCCAAUCUCAGUUCGGAUUGUAGGCUGCAACUCGCCUACAUGAAGUCGGAAUCGCUAGUAAUCGCGGAUCAGCACGCCGCGGUGAAUACGUUCCCGGGCCUU
rnacentral:rRNA from 1 species